GGGGAAUCUUCCGCAAUGGACGAAAGUCUGACGGAGCAACGCCGCGUGAGUGAUGACGGCCUUCGGGUUGUAAAGCUCUGUUAAUCGGGACGAAUGGUUCUUGUGCGAAUAGUGCGAGGAUUUGACGGUACCGGAAUAGAAAGCCACGGCUAACUACGUGCCAGCAGCCGCGGUAAUACGUAGGUGGCAAGCGUUGUCCGGAAUUAUUGGGCGUAAAGCGCGCGCAGGCGGAUCAGUUAGUCUGUCUUAAAAGUUCGGGGCUUAACCCCGUGAUGGGAUGGAAACUGCUGAUCUAGAGUAUCGGAGAGGAAAGUGGAAUUCCUAGUGUAGCGGUGAAAUGCGUAGAUAUUAGGAAGAACACCAGUGGCGAAGGCGACUUUCUGGACGAAAACUGACGCUGAGGCGCGAAAGCCAGGGGAGCGAACGGGAUUAGAUACCCCGGUAGUCCUGGCCGCAAACGAUGGGUACUAGGUGUAGGAGGUAUCGACCCCUUCUGUGCCGGAGUUAACGCAAUAAGUACCCCGCCUGGGGAGUACGACCGCAAGGUUG
rnacentral:rRNA from 1 species